rnacentral:rRNA from 1 species
GAUGAACGCUGGCGGCGUGCCUAAUACAUGCAAGUCGAGCGAACAGAUGAGGAGCUUGCUCCUCUGACGUUAGCGGCGGACGGGUGAGUAACACGUGGAUAACCUACCUAUAAGACUGGGAUAACUACGGGAAACCGGAGCUAAUACCGGAUAAUAUAUUGAACCGCAUGGUUCAAUAGUGAAAGACGGUUUUGCUGCCACUUAUAGAUGGAUCCGCGCCGCAUUAGCUAGUUGGUAAGGUAACGGCUUACCAAGGCAACGAUGCGUAGCCGACCUGAGAGGGUGAUCAGACACACUUGAACUGAGACACGGUCCAGACUCCUACGGGAGGCAGCAGUAGGAAAUCUUACGCAAUGGGCGAAAGCCUGACUGAGCAACGCCGCGUGAGUGAUGUAGGUCUUGGGAUCGUAGAACUCUGUUAUUAGGGUAGAACAAGUGUGUAAAUAACUCUGCACGUCUUGACGGUACCUAGUCAGAGAGCCACGGCUAACUACGU